rnacentral:rRNA from 1 species
GUACACGACCAUAGCGGAGGUGUCUACCUGGUCCCAUUCCGAACCCAGAAGUCAAGACCUCCUGCGUCACUGUUUGUACUGUGGUACGAGAGUCCACGGGAACGCAUGUCGUUGUGUCUC